GCCCUUAUAGCUCAGUGGUACCGAGCGCAUCACUCGUAUGAGGCAUGAUGAGGUCCGCGGUUCGAUCCCGCGUGAGGGCA
rnacentral:tRNA from 1 species